CCUACGGGUGGCAGCAGUCGGGAAUAUUGCGCAAUGGAGGAAACUCUGAUGCAGUGACGCCGCGUGCAUGAAGAAGGAUUUCGGAUUGUAAACCUCUUUAGACAGGGAAGAAAACAGUGAGUACCUCUAGACUAAGCUCCGCCUAACUAUGUGCCAGCAGCGGCGGUAUUACGUAGGGGGCAAGCGUUAUCCGGAUUUAUUGGGUGUAAAGGGUGCGCAGAGGGAGAAGCAAGUCAGUAGUGAAAGCCGGCGGCUUAACUGCGGAACUGCACUGAAAACUACAUGCCUGGAGUGCUGGAGAGGAAAGUGGAAUUCCUAGUGUAGCGGUGAAAUGCGUAGAUAUUAGGAGGAACACCAGUGGCGAAGGCGACUUACUGGACAGUAACUGACGUUGAGGCACGAAAGUGUGGGGAGCAAACAGGAUUAGAUACCCGAGUAGUC
rnacentral:rRNA from 1 species